GCUCAACCGAGGAAGUGCUUCGAAAACUGGUAAACUUGAGUGCAGAAGAGGAAAGUGGAACUCCAUGUGUAGCGGUGGAAUGCGUAGAUAUAUGGAAGAACACCAGUGGCGAAGGCGGCUUUCUGGUCUGUAACUGACGCUGAGAUUCGAAAGCAUGGGUAGCAAACAGGAUUAGAUACCCUGGUAGUCCAUGCCGUAAACGAUGAGUGCUAAGUGUUGGAGGGUUUCCGCCCUUCAGUGCUGCAGCUAACGCAUUAAGCACUCCGCCUGAGGAGUACGAUCGCAAGAUUGAAACUCAAAGGAAUUGACGGGGGCCCGCACAAGCGGUGGAGCAUGUGGUUUAAUUCGAAGCAACGCGAAGAACCUUACCAGGUCUUGACAUACCAUGAAAAGCUAAGAGAUUAGUCUUUCCCUUCGGGGACAUGGAUACAGGUGGUGCAUGGUUGUCGUCAGCUCGUGUCGUGAGAUGUUGGGUUAAGUCCCGCAACGAGCGCAACCCUUAUUAUCAGUUGCCAGCAUUCAGUUGGGCACUCUGGUGAGACUGCCGGUGACAAACCGGAGGAAGGUGGGGACGACGUCAAAUCAUCAUGCCCCUUAUGACCUGGGCUACACACGUGCUACAAUGGUCGGUACAACG
rnacentral:rRNA from 1 species